rnacentral:rRNA from 1 species
UACGUAGGUGGCGAGCGUUGUCCGGAUUUACUGGGCGUAAAGAGCGCGCAGGCGGUCGUUCAAGUCGCGUGUGAAAGCCCCCCGGCUCAACUGGGGAGGGUCACGCGAUACUGAUCGACUCGAAGGCAGGAGAGGGAAGUGGAAUUCCCGGUGUAGUGGUGAAAUGCGUAGAUAUCGGGAGGAACACCAGUGGCGAAGGCG